UACGUAGGGUGCGAGCGUUAAUCGGAAUUACUGGGCGUAAAGCGUGCGCAGGCGGUUUUGUAAGCCAGAUGUGAAAUCCCCGGGCUUAACCUGGGAAUGGCAUUUGGGACUGCAAGGCUUGAGUGCGGCAGAGGAGACUGGAAUUCCUGGUGUAGCAGUGAAAUGCGUAGAUAUCAGGAGGAACACCUGUGGUGUAGACAGCUUACUGGACCAUUUCUGACGCUGAGACACGAAAGCGUGGGUAGCAAACAGG
rnacentral:rRNA from 1 species